AGGCUUCCUCUUUGCUCUCACUUGGAUCACAGCCAGCUGCUCUGUCAUGAUGACACUUAAGCAGCUCAGUGGAGAGGCUACUUGGUGAGGAAUGAGGCCACCUUCCAACAGCCAGCAAGGAACUGCGGCUUUCUGACAACAGCCAUGUGAGUCAUCGUGGAAGCUGAUCCUCCUGCUCCAGUCGAGCCUUUCAGAUGACUGCAGCACUGGCUAAUAUAUUGACUACAACUUCAUAAGAGACCCUGAGCCAGAACUCAAAGUUCUGACCCACGGAAACUAUGAGGUGAGGACACAGCAAGAGGCACCACCUUGGAAGCAGACAGCAGCUUUCAGAGAGCAGUUGACACCUUGAUCUUGGAUGUCCCAGCCUCCAGAACUGCCCAGUGGAUGGAUGGAUGAAUGGAAGGACGGAUGGAUAGAAGGAUAGAAGGACAGAGGGAAGGAAGGAUGGAGGGACAGAGAGAUGACGAAUGGAAUCAAGUGAGAGCGACUUCAACCAGCUCCACCAAAGUCGAGCACCCCAGAGGCAAGCCUCAGCUGCCCAUUCCACUCCUCAACUCCUAGAGACCCUCCCCUGCCGCUUCCUCAACACCUGGUUGGCCCCCAUUAGCUCCUCGGUCCUCCAGCGCUCUCAGCGGUGGUGCCCCGGGAUUGGUCCUCAUUAUUCUCACUACCCCCAGGCCUCGAAUGGAGGGCAUCCAGGUGUGGGGAUGCAGGUGAUCUCAGCCCCCGCCCCUGGGUCAAGGUAGAAGUGGCGGCAGUGGGGCCGAACUCCUGGCGAGGGUAGCAACGUUCCAAGGCUGGGACUCGAGCCUCCACAGGAUGAAGGGGCUGCGGCUGCUGCCACUGCUGCUGGUGACCUGCACCCUGGGAACGUGCGCCCAGCGCCGGGUCUACCUGCGCGAGGAGUUCGAAGACGGGGGUAAGCAGCUGGGUGCCAGGCAGGCAGCUACUAUAGAACAGACUCCACGCCCUUGCCUGUCACCUGUCCCAGCGGUCAGGCAGGCCGACUUUCCCGGUUUGGAACCCGUUUAGAGACAGAAAGACUACAGCUGAAAUCCCCACUCGCUACCUCCUAGCUGUGUGACACUGGGCAGGCAGCUUACUAAGUCUGCAUUUCAAUUUCUUUCUCUAUUAAAUGAGGACAAUACGGAUCUUGC